CGAGCGGGAGCACCCCCCCCCUCUGCCCAGGACCGGUCCCAAACAGGAUUGAACCGCUUCUAACAAAGGGUGGAAACUUCGCAAAAACAAGCGCCGAGUCCGCCGGACCGCCGCGAUGCGGGCGUGGGGAGGGCGAGACGGGGCCCGGGGAGGGGGCUGCGGCGGGGGGGGACCCGCAGGGAAGGGCAGGAGCGGACAGCGGGGGUGAAAGCGGAGCGCGCGUGCGAGAAGGGCGGCCCGACGGUGGAAACCGUCGCAUCAUCGGUCGUAGGGCUGCCGCCUGUCAGCGGGCCGGGUUCGGCGGAACGCAGCCCCCGGCUGACACGACACGGGGCUCCGCUCCUCGCCGGGCUGCGCUGCCCCACGCUCCCCGCUACCCCCUCCUAAACGGCUCUCCGUCCUGGCGGCGCCCCGGCUGCCCCCGCAGGUGACACAAAACCGGUUACAACCAGAAAAGCACCCCCGAAAGCCCCGAGACCCCACCGCGCCGCGAGGCUCACCUCUCUCGUGGCCGAUGAGGACGUCCUUGUGGUUGAAGUACUCCACCUCCUCCGUGUAGUUCUGCGUGUAGGCAGUGUUGGAACCGGCGUUCCUCGACUCGGUCCAGCGCACCUUGGCGUGCCCGCGCGCGUGGAUUUUGAGCGAUUUCACUCUGAUCUCCCCCGUCACUUCUAAAUUGACCCUUCCUGAGACCGUGUCCCCGCUGGAGUAGACGGGGACAUUGCUGUCAUUGAGACAGUCAAAGCUUAUUGUCAAACUCUUCACCUUCCCCAGCACCAUGGUUUAGAGCAAAGCGUAGAAAAAAAAAAGCAAAAAAACAAAAAACUGACUGUAAGAAAGCGGAAAAAGAAAAUAAAAAAAAAAAAAGGAAAAAGGAAAAAGGAAAAAAAAAAAAAAGAAAAAGAACCUAACGCGAAAAGCGACCCUCGCCGCACACCGACCGAGCCGACCUACAGCCCCAGCAUGGGGAGCGAGAGCGGGAGGGCUGGGGCGGCCCCGGCCCUGCCGCGGAUGCCGGCGCUCCGCAGCGCUCAGAGCGCUCGGCUGCCCCGCGCUGCGCUCCGCUCACAAUGACGGCGCCAGAGCGCUGCCACCUCACUAAAAGCGCUGUGACAAACAACUCCCCCCCCACCCGACCUCUACGCGCUCGCGCAUGCGCCGCACGAGCGGCGCCGGCCCGCCCUCUGCCCGCCCAACCGCCCGCCCUCUGCCCGCCCUCAACUGCCGCGGGUACCGCGCGCUGCUGCCUCACGGAGCUCCGGGAGCGCUCAGCGAUGUCAGAGCCGUUGUUCAGGCUGGCAGCGGUUGAAAACGUAUUGCUGUAUUUGCCCGUUUUCCCUAGUAAGAAGCCACCCUUGACCCAUCACCUGGCGGGGGAGCUCUGUGCCUAACUUCAAACCGCCAACGUUCGGCCGCUGCCCCUGUCACGCCGGGACCGUCUGUGUGCGUGCACCACCGUGCGGCACGUGGGCGCAUCGACGGGAACCUGCCGGAGGGGCGGGGUGCCGGGCAGUCCUGCCGGUUCCACCCGGUUCUGCCUUCCUUGUCGCAAAGACUUCGGGAGAUGGAACUCUUCCCUUUUUCGUCUCCUCCAACGAUCUGCACAGCUGAAAGGCCCAACUUUGGUUAGCAGGCACCCGCGUGGAUAUGUUCCUUUUGUACACACGUUGGCAGAAGGGAUGCAUCCCUCGACUCUGCUGGUGUGGACCCUGUGCAUGCACUGCCAGCUCGUCUCGUGUGUGCGGAGUGGCUUCGGGAUGUGCAGAAACACAUACAGAGCUCAGCACAACAAGGAAAGACUUCCCAAUCACAGCCAAACCUAAAUGG
rnacentral:lncRNA from 1 species